UGUUAUACUGAUUCCGGCUUCCACGUC
rnacentral:sRNA from 1 species